GUACUGAUGAAGAGGCCCAGACUAGGACGAAACAGCUGUCCAGUAC
rfam:Trichobilharzia regenti genome assembly, scaffold: TRE_scaffold0018056